rnacentral:rRNA from 1 species
GGAUCCAGACUUUGAUCAUGGCUCAGGACGAACGCUGGCGGCGUGCCUAAUACAUGCAAGUAGAACGCUGAAGAGAGGAGCUUGCUCUUCUUGGAUGAGUUGCGAACGGGUGAGUAACGCGUAGGUAACCUGCCUUGUAGCGGGGGAUAACUAUUGGAAACGAUAGCUAAUACCGCAUAACAAUGGAUGACUCAUGUCAUUUAUUUGAAAGGGGCAAAUGCUCCACUACAAGAUGGACCUGCGUUGUAUUAGCUAGUAGGUGAGGUAACGGCUCACCUAGGCGACGAUACAUAGCCGACCUGAGAGGGUGAUCGGCCACACUGGGACUGAGACACGGCCCAGACUCCUACGGGAGGCAGCAGUAGGGAAUCUUCGGCAAUGGGGGCAACCCUGACCGAGCAACGCCGCGUGAGUGAAGAAGGUUUUCGGAUCGUAAAGCUCUGUUGUAAGUCAAGAACGAGUGUGAGAGUGGAAAGUUCACACUGUGACGGUAGCUUACCAGAAAGGGACGGCUAACUACGUGCCAGCAGCCGCGGUAAUACGUAGGUCCCGAGCGUUGUCCGGAUUUAUUGGGCGUAAAGCGAGCGCAGGCGGUUUGAUAAGUCUGAAGUUAAAGGCUGUGGCUCAACCAUAGUUCGCUUUGGAAACUGUCAAACUUGAGUGCAGAAGGGGAGAGUGGAAUUCCAUGUGUAGCGGUGAAAUGCGUAGAUAUAUGGAGGAACACCGGUGGCGAAAGCGGCUCUCUGGUCUGUAACUGACGCUGAGGCUCGAAAGCGUGGGGAGCGAACAGGAUUAGAUACCCUGGUAGUCCACGCCGUAAACGAUGAGUGCUAGGUGUUGGAUUCUUUCCGGGAUUCAGUGCCGCAGCUAACGCAUUAAGCACUCCGCCUGGGGAGUACGACCGCAAGGUUGCAACUCAAAGGAAUUGACGG